ensembl:lncRNA
GCGCGAUUUACAACGCGAUGCAGGUGUUUCUUAUGAAGUGUGAGAACCGGGAAGUUCUUGUGCAUGAAGCAAGACUUUAAGUUUAAAGUCACAGUGGAGCCACUGAGCAGUGAGACUAAGCGUACUCGUCAGGCUUACAGCUGAAGACCAAACAUCUGUGGUGAAGUUCAUCGCGGAGUGGUUAUGAAGAAGCUCGUGAAUAUGAUCUGUCAUACGGUUGUAUAACUCCGAUAUGAAUCAGCUUUGGCAACCUUCUACUACAAAGAGAAGUCUGAAACAAAACAGAGCAGUCAUGAGUCGCGGGAAACGUUCCGGCCUGUGUCCAAUAAUUUGGUGGAAGAGUGGAUGUACUACAGACCACUAAAAACAGAACAUGUGACUAAGACGUGUGAGCAGGUAGAAGAGCUGAUGGGUUUCAUCCCUGUGAUACCACUGUGUGUGUGUAUGUGAUUGUGCC